rnacentral:rRNA from 1 species
UACGUAGGGUGCAAGCGUUGUCCGGAAUUAUUGGGCGUAAAGAGCUCGUAGGCGGUCUGUCGCGUCUGCUGUGAAAACUCGGGGCUUAACCCCGGGCCUGCAGUGGGUACGGGCAGACUAGAGUGAUGUAGGGGAGACUGGAAUUCCUGGUGUAGCGGUGAAAUGCGCAGAUAUCAGGAGGAACACCGAUGGCGAAGGCAGGUCUCUGGGCAUUAACUGACGCUGAGGAGCGAAAGCAUGGGGAGCGAACAGG